GCACAAGCGGUGGAGCAUGUGGUUUAAUUCGACGCAACGCGAAGAACCUUACCUGGGCUCGAAAUGUAGUGGAAUCCGGUAGAAAUAUCGGCGUCUAGCAAUAGACCGCUAUAUAGGUGCUGCAUGGCUGUCGUCAGCUCGUGUCGUGAGAUGUUGGGUUAAGUCCCGCAACGAGCGCAACCCUUACCUACAGUUGCCACCCGCAAGGGGGAACUCUGUCGGAACCGCUUCGGAUAACGGAGAGGAAGGUGGGGAUGACGUCAAGUCCUCAUGGCCUUUAUGUCCAGGGCUACACACGUGCUACAAUGGCCGGUACAAACCGCUGCAAACCCGCGAGGGGGAGCUAAUCGGAAAAAGCCGGCCUCAGUUCGGAUUGGAGUCUGCAACUCGACUCCAUGAAGCUGGAAUCGCUAGUAAUCGUGGAUCAGCAUGCCACGGUGAAUACGUUCCCGGGC
rnacentral:rRNA from 1 species